GCUGUUACAGGAACAGAUGUUGGCAGAUGUGUCAGUGACAGAGUUACAGUUAGAGAGGUCAGUGAGCAGGAUUUCUAUCAGGAUUCAUGUCAGAGUUAUUAUAAUGAUGUCUGUUGGUUCACACUCACGGAUGCUUUGGACUGAUUCCAGCUCAAAGAGCAUUAACAUGUUUUCAUGUUUACAUCAUGAUGAGGAGCAGAGACUCUGAGGAUUCUCCUGAACUCUGGACUACAACCAGAAAAACAUCACAGUUGGACAGGACGUCAAUCUGACAUGUCGAGCUCCGAACAACAACAUCCACAUUGUACAGUGGAGCAGAGCUGACCUGGGAGAUAAACAUGUCCUUGUGUACCGAGGCGGGCACUUUCUUACAGAUGAGCAGCAUCCAUCUUUUAAGAACCGGGUGGAUCUGCAGGACAGACAGAUGAAGGAUGGAGACGUGUCUUUGAUUCUGAAGAAUGUGACGAUUAAUGACACUGGAACAUACGAGUGUCGUUUUGCUAAGAAAGAACCAAACCAAACAACAGUCAAUUUGAAUCUCACCAGCAUCAUCAACCUGAGUGUUGAUCCUCCAGGUCCAACAGGUGGACCAAAGAAGGAUGAAGACAACAGAGGGAAGGAGGAUGGAUCUGUUGGACUGAUAGUUGGUCUGUCAGUUCCUGCUGUGCUUCUUUUUGCUUUUAUCUUUUUGAUUUACAGAUGUAGGAGACAGCAGAGUGAGGAAACAAACCAGCCUCCUGUUGACCUGCAGCAGGUUUAAAUGUCUCAGAGCUUUUUCCAGCUUUGAGUCUGCUGCUGCUGUUCAGAGUUCUGGGUGUUGUCAGUGUUUAAAAUCCUGCAGAAACAGAUGAACUGAGCACAGCCAGCAGGCCCACAGUACUGUAUGUUUAUUUCAUUUUUCUCCUUAAUGGCUGCUUCUGUUUCUGUUGACAGCUCAUCUCAGUGGAAGAGUUUCAUCUUUAAAACAAGUCUUUACAUUUCAGCUCUGUAGUUAACUGGAACAUCCAGAGGGCUGUGACUACAAAUCAUCUUCAACACAGUCAGGCUUUCUUUGUGUUAGCUGGCUCAACUAAACCUGAAACUGCAGUCAGAGACAGCAGGUAUCACCAUGGUGGUUAUUAACUUUCUCUGCUUCAGGCUCUGAGCACGCUCUGAUGAAAAGGAGCGUUUCAUGUAUCAUGUGACUUUUCUUCUAAACAAAAUGAUCCCAGUGAGCGCCACCCAGUCCAAUCAGAGACGUUAUUCAUUGAUAACUUUACUAAUGUCUCCACUAAAUUAAUACAGGUACAUUCCUGUAACAAUGUGAUGUGCAGUUUAGGUUCAUUCAGUGGUUUCAGUACGUCACAGUUUAACAAGCUGCACAUAUGAGACAUUUUCCCCCAGCAGAGGAUCUACAUCACAGUGAAAACGUGGCUCUAACAGCUGAUUUAAAAACAAAACUCUGAACAUGAUCUGCUCCUGUCCAGGUGAUUUUUCACCAUCAGUUACCAUGGUGAUUUAGCCUCUUUCUGACACAGAAAGCUCUGACUUUGAGUUUGACACAGCUCACUGAGACAUUAGUCUGGUUUGUAGUGCACGCCUCUGAGGUUCAGAUUUUCAAAGUUAUAAAAUCUCAAAGUAAAACACUGUAAAGAUUAAAACUCUACAGCUGCUGUCAACAAAAACAACUUUUAUCUCUUUAAUCAAAUGAAGGAAAAACUUGAACAUUUUUCACUUUGAUGGUUUUGUGUCCACUGACAGUAGUCACAUCAUUUUGAGCUCAGAUUACACAUUUAUGAAAUAUGUUCACAACUGAAUGUUUUAUCACGAUCUGAUGUGUGAGUUCAGUUUCUCUUUAUCUUUGUGAGCUGUAUGGUUUGUUUACCCUCAGUAUCCAUGGUUACAGGAUACUGUGUUACAGACCUGGGAUCAGUGUUUUUGUUUAUAAGAUCAAAUAUGACCUCAUUAUGUGAGUGUGAGCUUUGGACCACAAAACCUCAACAACACUAAUCCUCAAUCAGCUGUUUCACUAAAAUUACAUCCAAGUAUAAACUGAUCCCAUCGUUCAUGCAUCACUUUGUAGCUGACAGAUGGUUAUGGACAUUCCUGGUUGCCUAGGUAACCCUCUAAUGUAUUAACUACUGGUACAUUUGUCACUCAGCAGUACGAUUUACUCUCAUUGCUAGUUGUUUCAGUAGUUCUUAAAGAUAAGAAAAGUUUACCUUGGUACUCAGUCACUUCAAAUCACUGAUCAGUUAUUUCCUCGUCUGAGUUUCGUUGACCUUUCAUGACCUCUGACUCCUGCUGUUCUCUUCCUGUGUGAACACUUUUCACUGGAACUGAAAAUCUGAGUUUCUAUGAAGUCCUUUAGAUUGCAGAUAAUCACAAGUCUGACUGAGGAUCCAGUGAUCAGGGACAACUGAACGGCCUCUAACUGCAAAGUAUUAGUAGUUUAUUUUAUUGUUUGCUAAAAUAGUUGCACAUGUAUCAGUAUUACAGGCUUUUAGUCAUUU